rnacentral:rRNA from 1 species
ACAGCAGCAGCCACGGUAAUACGGAGGGAGCUAGCGUUGUUCGGAAUUACUGGGCGUAAAGCGCACGUAGGCGGUUAUUCAAGUCAGAGGUGAAAGCCCGGGGCUCAACCCCGGAACUGCCUUUGAUACUGGAAGUCUUGAGUAUGGUAGAGGUGAGUGGAAUUCCGAGUGUAGAGGUGAAAUUCGUAGAUAUUCGGAGGAACACCAGUGGCGAAGGCGGCUCACUGGACCAUUACUGACGCUGAGGUGCGAAAGCGUGGGGAGCAAACAGGAUUAGAUACCCGUGUAGUCCCUGUCUCUUAUAC